rnacentral:rRNA from 1 species
AGAGUUUGAUCCUGGCUCAGGAUGAACGCUGACAGAAUGCUUAACACAUGCAAGUCUACUUGAACUUCGGUUUGGGUGGCGGACGGGUGAGUAACGCGUAAAGAACUUGCCUCACAGAUAGGGACAACAUUUGGAAACGAAUGCUAAUACCUGAUAUUAUGGUUUUAGGGCAUCCUAGAAUUAUGAAAGCUAUAUGCGCUGUGAGAGAGCUUUGCGUCCCAUUAGCUAGUUGGAGAGGUAACGGCUCACCAAGGCGAUGAUGGGUAGCCGGCCUGAGAGGGUGAACGGCCACAAGGGGACUGAGACACGGCCCUUACUCCUACGGGAGGCAGCAGUGGGGAAUAUUGGACAAUGGACCAAAAGUCUGAUCCAGCAAUUCUGUGUGCACGAUGACGUUUUUCGGAAUGUAAAGUGCUUUCAGUUGGGAAGAAAAAAAUGACGGUACCAACAGAAGAAGUGACGGCUAAAUACGUGCCAGCAGCCGCGGUAAUACGUAUGUCACAAGCGUUAUCCGGAUUUAUUGGGCGUAAAGCGCGUCUAGGUGGUUAUGUAAGUCUGAUGUGAAAAUGCAGGGCUCAACUCUGUAUUGCGUUGGAAACUGUGUAACUAGAGUACUGGAGAGGUAAGCGGAACUACAAGUGUAGAGGUGAAAUUCGUAGAUAUUUGUAGGAAUGCCGAUGGGGAAGCCAGCUUACUGGACAGAUACUGACGCUAAAGCGCGAAAGCGUGGGUAGCAAACAGGAUUAGAUACCCUGGUAGUCCACGCCGUAAACGAUGAUUACUAGGUGUUGGGGGUCGAACCUCAGCGCCCAAGCAAACGCGAUAAGUAAUCCGCCUGGGGAGUACGUACGCAAGUAUGAAACUCAAAGGAAUUGACGGGGACCCGCACAAGCGGUGGAGCAUGUGGUUUAAUUCGAUGCAACGCGAAGAACCUUACCAGGCCUUGACAUCCUAGGAACUUGGCAGAGAUGCCUUGGUGCCUUCGGGAACCUAGAGACAGGUGUUGCAUGGCUGUCGUCAGCUCGUGUCGUGAGAUGUUGGGUUAAGUCCCGCAACGAGCGCAACC